UUUGUCAAAAUGUCAAAUAGAACCUGUUGGUACUUCAACUUAAAAACGCGGCGACUUUAUUUUAGAUUGGGAGAACAAAAAAUGUCGGGAAAAACGCUUUGAAACGUUCGAGAUUUGCAAUGAAUUGGA
ensembl:ncRNA C30F2.6 ncRNA